UGCAAGUCGAGCGAGAUUUUUUUCUGUAGCAAUACAGGAAGAAGUCUAGCGGCGAACGGGUGCUUAACACGUGGGCAAUCUGUCGUAAAGUGGGGGAUAGCUCGGCGAAAGCCGAAUUAAUACCGCAUGUGAUUAGAGUGGACAUCCAUUCAAAAUCAAAGUCGGGGCAACCUGACGCUUUUUGAGGAGCCCGCGGCCUAUCAGCUUGUUGGUGAGGUAACGGCUCACCAAGGCUUUGACGGGUAGCUGGUCUGAGAGGACGACCAGCCACACUGGGACUGAGACACGGCCCAGACACCUACGGGUGGCAGCAGUCGAGAAUUUUUCUCAAUGGGGGAAACCCUGAAGGAGCGACGCCGCGUGGAGGAUGAAGGUCUUCGGGUUGUAAACUCCUGUCAUUUGGGAACAAGGCGUAUGUAUUAACUGUACGUGCGUUGAUAGUACCAGAAGAGGAAGAGACGGCUAACUCUGUGCCAGCAGCCGCGGUAAUACAGAGGUCUCAAGCGUUGUUCGGAUUCAUUGGGCGUAAAGGGUGCGUAGGCGGCGCGGUAAGUCGGGUGUGAAAUCUCGGAGCUUAACUCCGAAACUGCAUUCGAUACUGCCGUGCUUGAGGACUGGAGAGGAGACUGGAAUUUACGGUGUAGCGGUGAAAUGCGUAGAUAUCGUAAGGAAGACCAGUGGCGAAGGCGGGUCUCUGGACAGUUCCUGACGCUGAGGCACGAA
rnacentral:rRNA from 1 species